rnacentral:SRP_RNA from 1 species
GCUGGGUGUGGUGGUGUGCACCUGUAGUCCUAAUUACUCGGGAGGCUGAGGCAGGAGAAUUGCUUGAACCCAGGAGGCAGAGGUUGCAGUGAGCUGAGAUCAUGCCACUGCACUCCAGCCUGGGCAACAGAGUGAGAUUCUGUCUCAA